rnacentral:rRNA from 1 species
UAGGGAAUCCUCGGCAAUGGACGGAAGUCUGACCGAGCAACGCCGCGUGAGUGAAGAAGGUUUUCGGAUCGUAAAGCUCUGUUGUAAGAGAAGAACGAGUGUGAGAGUGGAAAGUUCACACUGUGACGGUAUCUUACCAGAAAGGGACGGCUAACUACGUGCCAGCAGCCGCGGUAAUACGUAGGUCCCGAGCGUUGUCCGGAUUUAUUGGGCGUAAAGCGAGCGCAGGCGGUUAGAUAAGUCUGAAGUUAAAGGCUGUGGCUUAACCAUAGUAGGCUUUGGAAACUGUUUAACUUGAGUGCAAGAGGGGAGAGUGGAAUUCCAUGUGUAGCGGUGAAAUGCGUAGAUAUAUGGAGGAACACCGGUGGCGAAAGCGGCUCUCUGGCUUGUAACUGACGCUGAGGCUCGAAAGCGUGGGGAGCAAACAGGAUUAGAUACCCUGGUAGUCCACGCUGUAAACGAUGAGUGCUAGGUGUUAGACCCUUUCCGGGGUUUAGUGCCGUAGCUAACGCAUUAAGCACUCCGCCUGGGGAGUACGACCGCAAGGUUG